UACGUAGGGACCGAGCGUUGUCCGGAUUCAUUGGGCGUAAAGAGCUCGUAGGCGGCCACUCAAGUCGAAUGUGAAACCUCGAGGCUUAACCUCGAGCCUGCAUUCGAUACUGGGUGGCUAGAGUCUGGUAGGGGGAUCUGGAAUUCCUGGUGUAGCGGUGGAAUGCGCAGAUAUCAGGAGGAACACCGGUGGCGAAGGCGGGAUCCUGGGCCAGUACUGACGCUGAGGAGCGAGAGCGUGGGGAGCAAACAGG
rnacentral:rRNA from 1 species